rnacentral:rRNA from 1 species
ACGGGUGAGUAACACGUAUCCAACCUGCCGUCUACUCUUGGACAGCCUUCUGAAAGGAAAGGAUUAAUACAAGAUGGCAUCAUGAGUUCACAUGUUCACAUGAUUAAAGGUAUUCCGGUAGACGAUGGGGAUGCGUUCCAUUAGAUAGUAGGCGGGGUAACGGCCCACCUAGUCUUCGAUGGAUAGGGGUUCUGAGAGGAAGGUCCCCCACAUUGGAACUGAGACACGGUCCAA